UGGGGAAUAUUGCACAAUGGGGGAAACCCUGAUGCAGCAACGCCGCGUGAGUGAUGACGGUCUUCGGAUUGUAAAGCUCUGUCUUUGGGGACGAUAAUGACGGUACCCAAGGAGGAAGCCACGGCUAACUACGUGCCAGCAGCCGCGGUAAUACGUAGGUGGCGAGCGUUAUCCGGAAUUAUUGGGCGUAAAGGGAGCGUAGGCGGAUAAUUAAGUGGGAUGUGAAAUACUCAGGCUCAACCUGGGGGCUGCAUUCCAAACUGAUUAUCUAGAGUGCAGGAGAGGAGAGUGGAAUUCCUAGUGUAGCGGUGAAAUGCGUAGAGAUUAGGAAGAACACCAGUGGCGAAGGCGACUCUCUGGACUGUAACUGACGCUGAGGCUCGAAAGCGUGGGGAGCAAACA
rnacentral:rRNA from 1 species